AGCUCCAAUAGCGUAUAUUAAAGUUGUUGCGGUUAAAAAGCUCGUAGUUGGAUUUCUGCCGAGGACAACCGGUCCGCCCUCUGGGUGAGUAUCUGGCUUGGCCUGGGCAUCUUCUUGGGGGACGUAGCUGCACUUGACUGUGUGGUGCGGCGUCCAGGACUUUUACUUUGAGGAAAUUAGAGUGUUUCAAGCAGGCGUGUGCCUUGAAUACAUUAGCAUGGAAUAAUGAGAUAGGACUUUUGUUCUAUUUUGUUGGUUUCUAGAGCAGAGGUAAUAGUUAAUAGGGAUAGUUGGGGGCAUUCGUAUUUAAUUGUCAGAGGUGAAAUUCUUGGAUUUGUUAAAGACGAACUACUGCGAAAGCAUUUGCCAGGGAUGUUUUCA
rnacentral:rRNA from 1 species